rnacentral:rRNA from 1 species
AACGAACGCUGGCGGCAUGCCUAACACAUGCAAGUCGAACGAGACCUUCGGGUCUAGUGGCGCACGGGUGCGUAACGCGUGGGAACCUGCCCGUAGGUUCGGAAUAACUCCCCGAAAGGGGUGCUAAUACCGGAUAAUGUCUUCGGACCAAAGAUUUAUCGCCUUUGGAUGGGCCCGCGUUGGAUUAGCUAGUUGGUAGGGUAAAAGCCUACCAAGGCGACGAUCCAUAGCUGGUCUGAGAGGCUGAUCAGCCACACUGGGACUGAGACACGGCCCAGACUCCUACGGGAGGCAGCAGUGGGGAAUAUUGGACAAUGGGCGAAAGCCUGAUCCAGCCAUGCCGCGUGAGUGAUGAAGGCCUUAGGGUUGUAAAGCUCUUUUACCCGGGAUGAUAAUGACAGUACCGGGAGAAUAAGCUCCGGCUAACUCCGUG